rnacentral:rRNA from 1 species
AUUGAACGCUGGCGGCAGGCCUAACACAUGCAAGUCGAGCGGGGCGGGCGGCGGGCGAGUAAUGCCUAGGUGGCAGCCUGGCAGUGGGGGAUAACUUCCGCAAAGAGACGCUAAUACCGCACGCUUUCAGAUGAGCCUGGGUCGGUUUAGCUAGCUGGUGGGGUAAAGGCCUACAAAGGCGACGAUCCGUCACUAGUCUGAGUGGAUGAUCAGUCACACUGGAACUGAGACACGGGCCAGACUCCUACGGGAGGCAGCAGUGGGGAAUAUUGGACAAUGGGCGAAAGCCUGAUCCAGCCAUGCCGCGUGUGUGAAGAAGGUCUUCGGAUUGUAAAGCACUUUAAGUUGGGAGGCGUUACCAACAGAAAAAGCACCGGCUAACUUCGUGCCAGCAGCCGCGGUAAUAC